AUUUUUUUGCAUGAGCGAAAAAAAGUUUGUGAAGAUGUGCUUCGCCAUUAGAUUUUGAUUUAGCGUUCUUUUCUUGUCCAUUUUAAUAACAGUAUUUUCGUUUUAAAUUAAGUGCAGUUACAAUUUAAGUCAAGGAACGUUCCUUAGAGCUUUACAUUUUAAAAAAAUAUUUGCUCGUAAUUUUUACUUUUUUUUUUAUUGUGUGUUCAAUCUUAUUGAGACGUGCUACCAUGAAUGCACUGAUCAAAUAUAGCAUGAUAUUUAACAUGUUUGAGUUUUAAAAGAGUAUCGUACUGUGCUCUCAUUGUAAACAAGUGCCGAUUCGUCGUGUCAUUUCAUGUACAGUUACAUGAAUGGCAUAUUAACGGGCAAGAAGAUAUCAAAAUAUCUGACAAGGUUUCUGAAACCAUCUUGCAUCACUCCUGUGUAUUUCGAGGAUGAUGAACAGCAAAACCAUAUACCUUUCAUAUACCUUAAAGAUUCCUUGACAGGACCCCUACUGUUCUGUUCAUUCUUGGUGUAUUGAUGCCAGAGUACUACAAAGUGUAUAUGUGCGUUUUUAUUUUUAUAUAGGCCUAGUAUUUAUACAUUUUAUUGAUUUGUUUUAUAUAAAUCAUUGUCUUAAAAUAAAUGUUUCAACUUCAAA